GGCAGGGCUCGCCAACCUCAUUGUCUUCCUGGCUGGCCUGAGGGAAGAGACUUCGUGCCAAUGGCAUGGGGCUAAGGACACUAUCUUGUUCCAGCGAGUGGAAAGGACGACCCCAUUCCAGAAGACGUACAGAAAGUCUAGUGGUGUUAGGGGGCGGAGGGCUCGGACAGCGCUGCCAGGCGUCCAGGAACCAGGCUGUUAACCAGGAUCUAACAAGGCGAGCAAAGACCCUAGCCAUCAGCAGUGAGGAAACUCCGGGAUCCGCCGAACUUGGCCCAGGGCUCUCUGUCCAGCUGGUGCCUCCUUGAUCUGCCCUUAAUUAAAGCUCCUAUUGUCCUA